rnacentral:rRNA from 1 species
UGCAGUCGAACGGCAGCACAGAGGAGCUUGCUCCUUGGGUGGCGAGUGGCGGACGGGUGAGGAAUACGUCGGAAUCUGCCUAUUUGUGGGGGAUAACGUAGGGAAACUUACGCUAAUACCGCAUACGACCUACGGGUGAAAGUGGGGGACCGCAAGGCCUCACGCAGAUAGAUGAGCCGACGUCGGAUUAGCUAGUUGGCGGGGUAAAGGCCCACCAAGGCGACGAUCCGUAGCUGGUCUGAGAGGAUGAUCAGCCACACUGGAACUGAGACACGGUCCAGACUCCUACGGGAGGCAGCAGUGGGGAAUAUUGGACAAUGGGCGCAAGCCUGAUCCAGCCAUGCCGCGUGUGUGAAGAAGGCCUUCGGGUUGUAAAGCACUUUUGUCCGGAAAGAAAAGCUUAGGGUUAAUAACCUUGAGUCAUGACGGUACCGGAAGAAUAAGCACCGGCUAACUUCGUGCCAGCAGCCGCGGUAAUACGAAGGGUGCAAGCGUUACUCGGAAUUACUGGGCGUAAAGCGUGCGUAGGUGGUUUGUUAAGUCUGAUGUGAAAGCCCUGGGCUCAACCUGGGAAUGGCAUUGGAAACUGGCUUACUAGAGUGCGGUAGAGGGGUGUGGAAUUCCCGGU